rfam:Triticum aestivum genome assembly, contig: Triticum_aestivum_CS42_TGACv1_scaffold_486047_6AS
UUUAUACUCCCUCCGUCCCAAAAUUCUUGUCUUAGAUUUAUCUACAUACAGAUGUAUCUAGUCACAUUUUAGUGUUAGAUACAUCCGUAUCUAGACAAAUCUACGACAAGAAUUUUAGGACGGAGGAGAUACAUC